rnacentral:rRNA from 1 species
GACGAACGCUGGCGGCGUGCCUAAUACAUGCAAGUAGGACGCAGUUGCGAACGGGUGAGUAACGCGUAGGUAACUACCUAUUAGAGGGGGCUAACUAUUGGAAACGAUAGCUAAUACCGCAUACUAGUAGAUGGACCUGCGUUGUAUUAGCUAGUAGGUAGGGUAAUGGCCAACCUAGGCAACGAUACAUAGCCGAGCUGGGGGGGUGAACGGGCACAAUGGGACUGAGACAAGGGCCAGACGCCUACGGGAGGGAGCAGUAGGGAAGAUGCGGAAAUGGGGGGAAACCUGAACGAGGAACGGCGGGGGAGUGAAGAAGGUUUUCGGAUCGUAAAGCUCUGUUGUUAAGGAAGCGGUACUUAACCAGAAAGGGACGGCUAACUACGUGCCAGCAGCCGCGGUAAUAC